rnacentral:rRNA from 1 species
AACGAACGCUGGCGGCAUGCCUAACACAUGCAAGUCGAACGAGACCUUCGGGUCUAGUGGCGCACGGGUGCGUAACGCGUGGGAAUCUGCCCUUUGCUUCGGAAUAACAGUUAGAAAUGACUGCUAAUACCGGAUGAUGUCUUCGGACCAAAGAUUUAUCGGCAAAGGAUGAGCCCGCGUAGGAUUAGGUAGUUGGUGGGGUAAAGGCCUACCAAGCCGACGAUCUUUAGCUGGUCUGAGAGGAUGAUCAGCCACACUGGGACUGAGACACGGCCCAGACUCCUACGGGAGGCAGCAGUGGGGAAUAUUGGACAAUGGGCGCAAGCCUGAUCCAGCCAUGCCGCGUGUGUGAUGAAGGCCUUAGGGUUGUAAAGCACUUUCACCGGAGAAGGUAAUGACGGUAUCCGGAGAAGAAGCCCCGGCUAACUUCGUGCCAGCAGCCGCGGUAAU